CUGUUUAGUCUCCCCCCACCCCCCCUCUUCCUUUUCCACAGGCUUGAGAAAAAUUGUUUUCGCAGCAAACUAUUGCUUUUGUCCUGCAUCUGCACUCCAUGGAGGUUAAGCAUCAUCUGUAUGGUGACAAUAAGAACAGAUGGGUCGUAACUAGCUGGGUCGCUGUAUGGUGACAAUAAGAACAGGUGGGUCGUAACUAGCUGGGUCGCUGUAUGGUGACAAUAAGAACAGAUGGGUCGUAACUAGCUGGGUCGCUGUAUGGUGUUAUAAAGAACAGAUGGGUCGUAACUAGCUGUAUGGUUAUAAAGAACAGGUGGGUCGUAACUAGCUGUAUGGUGUUAUAAAGAACAGGUGGGUCGUAACUAGCUGUAUGGUGUUAUAAAGAACAGGUGGGUCGUAACUAGCUGUAUGGUGUUAUAAAGAACAGGUGGGUCGUAACUAGCUGUAUGGUGUUAUAAAGAACAGGUGGGUCGUAACUAGCUGUAUGGUGUUAUAAAGAACAGGUGGGUCGUAACUAGCUGUAUGGUGUUAUAAAGAACAGAUGGGUCGUAACUAGCUGUAUGGUGACAUCAUUAAGAACAGAUGGGUCGUAACUAGCUGUAUGGUGUUAUUAAGAACAGAUGGGUCGUAACUAGCUGUAUGGUGACAUCAUUAAGAACAGAUGGGUCGUAACUAGCUGUAUGGUGUUAUUAAGAACAGAUGGGUCGUAACUAGCUGUAUGGUGUUAUAAAGAACAGGUGGGUCGUAACUAGCUGUAUGGUGACAUUAAGAACAGAUGGGUCGUAACUAGCUGUAUGGUGUUAUAAAGAACAGGUGGGUUGUAACUAGCUGUAUGGUGUUAUAAAGAACAGGUGGGUCGUAACUAUCUGUAUGGUGUUAUAAAGAACAGGUGGGUCGUAACUAGCUGUAUGGUGUUAUUAAGAACAGGUGGGUCGUAACUAGCUGUAUGGUGUUAUAAAGAACAGGUGGGUCGUAACUAGCUGUAUGGUGUUAUAAAGAACAGAUGGGUCGUAACUAGCUGUAUGGUUAUGAAGAACCGAUGGGUCGUAACUAGCUGUAUGGUUAUAAAGAACAGGUGGGUCGUAACUAGCUGUAUGGUGUUAUCAAGAACAGAUGGGUCGUAACUAGCUGUAUGGUGUUAUAAAGAACAGGUGGGUCGUAACUAGCUGUAUGGUGUUAUUAAGAACAGGUGGGUCGUAACUAGCUGUAUGGUGUUAUAAAGAACAGGUGGGUCGUAACUAGCUGUAUGGCGACAUCAUUCUGAACAGAUGGGUCGUAACUAGCUGUGUGGCGACACCAUUCUGAACAGGUGGGUCGUAACUUGCUGUAUGGCGACACCAUUCUGAACAGGUGGGUCGUAACUUGCUGUAUGGUGUUAUAAAGAACAGAUGAGUCGUAACUAGCAGUUACAGCUUGG